UACGGGGGGGGCAAGCGUUGUUCGGAAUUACUGGGCGUAAAGGGCCAGUAGGCGGCCAACUAAGUCCGACGUGAAAUCCCAAGGCUUAACCUUGGAACUGCGUCGGAUACUGGAUGGCUUGAAUUCGGGAGAGGGAUGCAGAAUUCCAGGUGUAGCGGUGAAAUGCGUAGAUAUCUGGAGGAAUACCGGUGGCGAAGGCGGCUCUCUGGGACGGUACUGACGCUGAGACGCGAAAGCGUGGGGAGCGAACAGG
rnacentral:rRNA from 1 species